ACUCUGGUGGCCUAGUGGUUAGAGCAUUUGCCUCAGAUGCGGAAGAUCAUGGGUUUGAAUCCCAGCAAAGUU